UUGACUUUUUUUGGGGGGGGGAGGGAAUUUUUUUGGAGGGGGCGCAAAAGGAAGAACUGCUCACCGGGGGAAUACACUAAGGGCAUAAGGGACCGCCGGCAGGAGUCGGAAGCCUGGGGUCCAGGAUGGAUGUGGCGGACCCGCAGCAGCUGGGCAUGUUUACAGAGGGCGAGCUGAUGUCGGUGGGGAUGGACACGUUUAUUCACCGCAUCGACUCUACCGAGGUCAUCUACCAGCCCCGCCGCAAGCGGGCCAAACUCAUCGGCAAGUACCUGAUGGGGGACCUGCUGGGGGAGGGGUCGUACGGCAAGGUGAAGGAGGUGCUGGACUCGGAGACCCUGUGCAGGAGGGCUGUCAAAAUCCUCAAGAAGAAGAAGUUGCGGAGGAUCCCCAACGGGGAGGCCAAUGUGAAAAAGGAGAUCCAGCUCCUGCGGAGGCUGCGGCACAAGAACGUCAUCCAACUGGUGGAUGUGUUGUACAACGAAGAGAAGCAGAAGAUGUAUAUGGUGAUGGAGUACUGCGUGUGUGGCAUGCAAGAGAUGCUGGACAGCGUGCCUGAGAAGCGCUUCCCCGUGAGCCAGGCCCACGGGUACUUCUGCCAGCUGGUGGACGGCCUGGAGUACCUGCACAGCCAGGGCAUCGUGCACAAGGACAUUAAGCCCGGCAACCUGCUGCUCACCACUGGCGGCACUCUCAAGAUCUCCGACCUGGGCGUGGCUGAGGCCCUGCACCCGUUUGCCGAGGAUGACACGUGCCGGACAAGCCAGGGCUCCCCCGCGUUCCAGCCGCCUGAGAUUGCCAAUGGCUUGGACACCUUCUCGGGCUUCAAGGUGGACAUCUGGUCGGCUGGGGUCACGCUCUACAACAUCACGACAGGCCUGUACCCGUUCGAGGGGGACAACAUCUACAAGCUGUUUGAGAACAUCGGGAAGGGGGACUACACGAUCCCUGGCGACUGCGGCCCCCCACUCUCGGACCUGCUGAAAGGGAUGCUGGAAUACGAGCCGGCCAAGAGGUUUUCCAUACAGCAGAUCAGACAGCACAGCUGGUUCCGGAAGAAGCACCCGCCGGCCGAGGAGCUGGUGCCCAUCCCGCCGAGCGCAGACUGCAAGGACCGGUGGCGUGGCAUGACGGUGGUGCCAUACCUGGAGGACCUGCACGGCUGUGCCGACGACGUGGACGAGGAGCUCCUCGACAUUGAGGACGACAUCAUCUACACUCAGGACUUCACGGUGCCCGGUGGCGAGGCGGUGUCUGAGGCAGGGCUUAGAGAGAGAGGCCCGCGGAAGAGCCAGUGCUCAGAACUUUCUGGAGAGGAGGCGGAGGCCAGGGCCACUGCGGAGCUCCUGGCAGGGCCGGGGACUUAGCGUGGCACUGCCGCGCCCCUGCGGGCCCUCGCUGACCUUGUCUGGGUCUGAGGGAGGCUGGGCCACUGCCCACCCCACAGCAUCCCGGUUCUGUGCUGGCCUGGGGCUGGAUCCGCAGGCUCCUGGCAUAAAGGUCUGCCCCGCUGAGUGUGUGCGGCUCGUGCUUGCCUCUUGCGGCUCACCAGCCAGGUCCUAAGGCUUCUACUGUAGCAAGUGCCUGUGAGCAGGGCCGCUGCAGGGCCCAGGGCUUCCAGGGAGCGGGCCCUGGGCGGGUCUGGUGUCCUGCUCUCCUGGUGUCAGGCUCGCGUCUCUGGUGCCUGUGGCAGCCAGCGGCGGGGUCAGCCUGGAGCUUGUGCCUCUCUGGCUUGGGCUCAGCCAUAUCCCUGUUGGGGUCCUAGGGUCUGGAGCUCUUGGAUGUGGUGUGUGUGGUGCCCCUGGCCCUGGGACCCUGGCCACAGUUGAGUCCUGGGUCUGAGGCCUCCUGGAGCCUCAGUCCACUCCGCAGAACAGGAACCAGGUGUCAUGCCUCUCAGAGACACGUGGGCCCACCGCGGGUGCCUGGGUGUGGCCCACCGGGCCCCCAGAGUCUUGCCGGGCAUUGACUGUCCCUCCAGGCCUAUGCCGGAGGCCGGGUGCUGCUUUUCCCGGUGGGGGGGGAAGCUCAUCCAAGAGUGCUUCUCUGGGCCCAAUUGGGUCCCUGGCCCAGGUGUGUCCCCCAUGCCAGACAUGGGACAUCUGGCCCCGAGGUCAGGCCGCUGCCUCUCUCUGACCUACUCGCCGGUCAGCAGCUGGCUGUCCACGGCUCAGACCUCUCUCACUCCCGCCCUGGCCCUACUCAGACUUCCCGCUGCUUGCGUUGACCUCCUGGGCUGUCCCUGGUCCUGCCGCCCACCUCAGAGCUGGGUGUGGGCCUGCUGCUGGUGUUGGUUGGUCUGGGCCAGUGAGGGGAUCACAUGCCCACCAGCCGCCCUCUACCCAGAGUCACUGCACUGGGGGCUGGGCUCUGGGUGAUCUGUGCACGGCCCCUCCCUGCUGGAGCAGGUGCCUGACACCCCUGGUGCUCAGAGUUCUGACUUGAGAUGCUUCUCGUGCAUAGGCGGGUGGGCUCUUGGCAAGUCUGGCGGCUACCGAGUAGGGAGUAGGCAGUGGACGCUGUUGGAGAUGGGGCUUGCAUGGGGAGGAGAGGGGCUCGAGACAGCGGAGGGCGGUUUCUUGCCGAUGUCCGCAGGAGGAGGGUGGCUGAGUGCACAGCACCCUCCAUCCCCCACGCCUCGGCGGGAGCUCAAAACGCGGGGCAAAAUGUGGGGUGUGCAGCCCAGGCCAAUGGCCCUGCAGGAUGCCUGUGAGGGCUGGCGGCCUGCAGAGAGGAUGGGUGGAGUGCAUGGGCCCCAUGCCAAUCCCUCUGUUGGUGCCCGGCAUGGAGAGCCGAGGUGGGCCUUUGUGGGAGAGACAUAGGGUCUCCCCACAGGCUGGCGAGGUCUGACUGUCACACAGGUGAGAACCCAGGCUUGGGCCCCGGGCCCCUGGUCCUUCACUGUGCUCCCACAGCAGAGGGCGAGCAGGGCAGCCCAGGCCCACCUGAGUGCAGACGCCCCAGCUCACAUCUGAACAAGCAGGACAGGUCCCAGACGAGGAGACCAGUCAGAGCGGACAGAGCAGGGGCUUGCCCAAGGCCUUGUGUGUGAAUGGCACAGAAUCAGCCCAGCUGAGCACCAAAUCCAGGGUGGAGCGCCGGGCCAGUGCCACCUCCAACCC